ensembl:miRNA MIR665 microRNA 665
UCUCCUCGAGGGGUCUCUGCCUCUACCCAGGACUCUUUGAUGACCAGGAGGCUGAGGCCCCUCACAGGCGGC